rnacentral:misc_RNA from 1 species
GUGAGGACUUGGAGACCCUCCAUUAGGGCCUGAAGGGCACAGAUGGGAUCAAUCUCAGUCACGAUGACACGAGCACCAGCUUGCUUGAGAGCGGCGGCACAACCCUUACCAACAUCUCCAUAGCCAGCAACAACAGCAACCUUGCCGGCAAUCAUGACAUCAGUGGCCCUCAUGAGACCAUCGGGGAGAGAGUGGCGGCAUCCAUAGAGAUUGUCGAACUUGCUCUUGGUGACUGAGUCAUUAACGUUGAUAGCCGGAAAGAGAAGGGUGCCGCUGGCCUGCAUCUGGUACAACCGCUUCACCCCGGUGGUGGUCUCCUCCGACACACCAACCAGCCUCUCCUUCAUCUUCUGAUACCUCUUCGGAUCCACCUUCAACGACUCCCGGAUCAGCCCAAGCACGAGCUGAAACUCAACAUUAUCAGUCGAAGUCGGAUCCGGCACCUUCCCUGUCUUCUCGUACUCCUCCUCAGCCUUCACCCCCUCAUGAAUUAGAAGUGUAGCAUCACCCCCAUCGUCAACGAUGAGAUCCGGGCCACCGUCGGUGCCCCAGUCAAGGGCCCGCUCGGUGCACCACCAGUACUCCUGCAAGGUCUCCCCCUUCCAGGCGAACACGGCAGCCGAGUCGCGGGCGAUGGCGGCGGCGGCGUGGUCCUGGGUGGAGAAGAUGUUGCAGGAGCACCAGCGGACCUCGGCGCCGAGGGCGGUGAGGGUCUCGAUGAGGACAGCGGUCUGGAUCGUCAUGUGGAGCGAUCCGGUGAUGCGGGCGCCCUUGAAGGGCUGGGAUGGGCCGAAUUCGGUGCGGCAGGACAUGAGGCCGGGCAUCUCGACCUCGGCGAGCUCGAUCUCGAGGCGGCCGAAGUCGGCCUGGCUCAUGUCCUUGACCUUGUACUCCCGGCCGGAGGUGGUCUUCUCGACGAGGAGGGCCAUGAGAUCUAGGGUUUCGGAUCCGCGAUGUGGGAUCUGAGUGAAG